rnacentral:lncRNA from 1 species
ACCUGCAGGUCCUGAGCCCAGCUGGUCCUGGAACUGUUCUAUCUGCCUUAUAGGGCAGUGUCCAUCCUUCUCCGGGCCUGCUCUCUGUCUCCCCAGCACAGGAGUCUUCCAGCUUCUUAAGUGGGCCUUGGAGUUACAGAGGAUGCUAAUUCUGCCCAUCCCCCUCCACCUUCCACCACUGCAGCUAAUCCAUCUCCAGCUUGUCCUGAAUUCUUACAGGGGGGCUCAAGGUGGCAUCAUUAUCAGAAAAUGUUAAGAGUGAGAAGAAAAUCCUGGGAGAUGGCUGGAUCCCACCUACUCUUUCUGUUGAGCAUCACUGUUGUUGCUGCUGGCUGAGCACCCAGCCCUCCAUGGGGAGCACCAUUCAACCUAUACAGUGGGCCACGGCUGUGUAAUCUGCAGGCAUUUUCUAUGUGUAGUUAAUUACUAACUAUCUCACAUCCUUGUGUGAGAAUAUCUUGCAGAACUUUGACUAGCACCCACUCACUGUGCCAACGGGCUGAGCAUCAUGAUACAGAAGUGAGAUCAGAGGUUAUAUUGCAAAAAGGACAUGUCCUACAGCACCUAGAACCAGAAGUGAAUGAGCAAGAAAGACAAAGAAGGUUUGAAAUGGGGCUGUCAGAAGCUUGUCUGGGGAAGAGUCUUCCAGUCGUCACGUGUGUGAAAUUUGUAAAUGGAGGAUUCAGUUCU